AGGGAGGAGGAGGGGGGGGAGAAGGAGGAAGAGGUGAAGCGGAAAGCAGUGAGGCACACGCGAACCACUUCUUUACAAGGCGUUGUGCUGGUAAAACGUGUGUGCGCCAAGAAGUGUGUCUGGUGUCAUUUCUUUCGUGGCGUUGUUGUUUGUCAGGAAGCAGUGUAUACUUCAAGGGACAAGGUCGGGUCAUGCCGGUCACCCACUAAACGGAGUAAGAAGGUCUCGGGCGUCAGUCAAGAGAUGGACCACGCCCCGCCACAAGUCUGGCACCGGCGUCCCUACAUUGGCGCACUACUAACUUGAAGCCACAUCUAUUUCACCCCAGCGAACUCGUGAGCCACAGCGGCACGCCAGUCCAAUUUGUAUCCGCCCAAGCGUCUGAGAAGCUCCGUCAUCCUCCUCUGUGACCAUGUGAUAGCAGUGCAUCUCCAGUGUGCCUCCUCAGAAGAGGACGCGGACCGCGGAGGCGUGCGGUCCGUCACAGGCAGGGACUGGGCCGUUUCGCCUCGUUCACUGGAGGCGUAGGCUGUCAGGAAUUAUUCGGUCUUGGGUGUUAAAGAUAACAUGAGGGUGAUGGAAGCAAAAUCAGAAUAAAAUUAAUACCGGUGACUUGUUUUGUAAAGAAGCGAGGAAUGGAGAAAAUUAUAACAAAUUGUUUCGUAGUGGUGGGUAAAAUGGAAUGCACUAAACAUAACAGGGCGCACACCACACUACACCACACCUGUCCUACAAUUGAGGAAAAUGUUGUUCAUGAUUAAAAUGCUAUUUGUUACAGGUCCUGUCACUACUGAAGGGAAAACCAAACCAGCGUGUCCUGACAACCCUGAACCUGCGGGCUGCGGCAGGAAACUGGCUCUUCUUGCAUUGCAGGACACACUGCUUCCCUCCACCUUCCACGGAGGAAUUGGGAACUUGCCCUGACAACUGACAACACGCGGUGCCAUCCAGGGAGGGAGGACGCCUGCCUUGCGUCAUGUAACCUGACCUAACCAAUACAUAUUGCCAGUCA